rnacentral:lncRNA from 1 species
UAAAAGACAUUUCUUAGCAACUCUUCAGCUAAGAAAUGCUUAAGAGACCACCAAUAAGGACAUGCACAUGGGCGUACCCACAAAUGUCCUACACACAAAAAAAGAAAAGAAAAAAUGAAAAAAAAAACCUGAAGGACGUACGCAUUUGUGCUACGGUCCCGUUUAUUGUUGCCCCUUUUCGCGGACCUCACUGACACGUGCCGGCCCGCGAUUGGUUAUUUAUUUUUUUUUAAUAUUUUUUUUAUAAUCGUAAAAGAAAAAAAAAAAAAGAUUUUGGGACAAAUGCUUGUCCCACCAAUGUGCAUGGUCUAAGGACUGUGUAUUACUGUUAACACUUGUGAAUUUGGUCAAAGAGGAAUUAUUGCAGAUGUUAUCGUUAUUGUUAAUA